rnacentral:lncRNA from 1 species
UCGAAAGAUUAUCCCAUACCUCCUUAACAUAAUCUUUAUAACCAUCAAAUUCCUCCCAACACUUCAACAUAUGAAAAGGUCUUGAUCCCCAAGUAUCUCAAUCAUCACAGAAGAAUAAUGGACAAUGAUCUAAUAAGCCUCUAUCCAACGCCCAUUGCAAACAAAUGGGCCAUUGACGACCCCGCCUCUUUGAUAAAAGAAAUCGGUCUAAUCUUCUCAUGACAGAUCCAUCCAAACGACAUCAAGCAAAAGUUUUACCAUUUAAAGGCAAAUCAUUAAAUUCUGAUUCAUCAAUAAAAUUAUUAAAACACAAAAUGUCUUCCAUUUGGAUAUCUCCACAUACACACCAACAACAAUGUAUAUCGCUCUCAAUGUUCUCAACUAUCAUAUUACACAGUUCUCGCUUCUUAAUUCUGUCACAAGGUGCAUAAACAUUUACCACACAAAUUUUUCUCUAGUAUCCUUCCAUUCCCCCUCCAUAACUAAUGCAUGAUUUAAUAUGGAAGAACUCCACAUAUGGACCCGCGAUUUAUCCCACAAAGUUAGUAUACCUUUGAAUCUACCUACUGAGGGUUUGAACGAAAAUCCAAACCCUUUUGAUCCCCACACAAUUUCACACAUCUUUUCCUCCACAACCUCUAAUUUCGUUUCUUAAACACACACUAUAUCAGGGUUUUUUUUAUUUUUUUUAUUCAACCCUGCAAUUCUUUUUUCUUUUCAACCCCUCCCAUGCCUCUAAUAUUAUAACAUAACAUCUUCAUUGUUAACCUUACUAUCACCAAAAACUUCCUACCCCAUCCACUUCUAACUUCCUAUGCAUUUUUUCCAAUAUUCACUAUAUCCCUUUUUCCAUUUCCAUUAUUUUUUCAACUAUAAUAUUUUCUUCCUCUUAUGGAAUUAAUCGGACCUCUUUUACAAAACUUAAUACUUCUUUACCCACCUUUGUCGCAUCAUUAUUAAGUAAAUCCAAAUGCCUUCAAUCUGCUCGAGAUGAAGAAUUAACCAAACUAGUUGAAGAAGAAACACUUACUUGAUUUAAUGAAGCGAACAAAGUUGUUUGUCUCCUAUUCUUUUUCUAUUGAGCCUCGAACAAAAGUCUCUCCUUCCGUUGAUGCUCUGGUAGUCUAGAUAUUUGUUUCAAAGAUAAAAAUUCUCUAUAUUGACUUUUUAGAAAAUUCUCUUUCGAAUAGUCAUUUUCAGUGAACCUUCCAUCUGUAUAAUUCUACAUGGCUUUCCAACAUGCUCUUCAGACCCCAUUAUGUCUAAACAUGUUGCUAAGUCUACCCCACCAUGAAUAAGGCUCGCACUACUACCGCCUAGUCGCGAUCCAAUAUCACAAGUCUGCUUCGUCAAACUACCUUCAUGUGUUGCUUCAUCCAUUUGGAAAUCAAUACAUUUUCGCUCCACAUUAAAUGAAACUGUUUCAUGUUGACCAAGUCCAAUGGGUCCCUCCAUGCCACCCUCAAUUUGAAUCAACGAAUCUGCAUGCCUCUCAACAAUUUCAUAACCAACGAAUCUGCAUGCCUCCUCCACUCCUAACUUAUGGGUUUUCUCUCUC